rnacentral:tRNA from 1 species
AAGUAAGAAGCAAUAAUUGUAAUCAGUUUCGACCUGAUAGUAAGAUAUUUUAAAUAUCCUUAUUUA